CAGGCCUAACACAUGCAAGUCGAGCGGUAACAUUUCUAGCUUGCUAGAAGAUGACGAGCGGCGGACGGGUGAGUAACGCGUAGAAAUCUACCUAGUAGUGGGGGAUAGCCCAGAGAAAUUUGGAUUAAUACCGCAUACGCCCUGCGGGGGAAAGCGGGGGAUCUUCGGACCUCGUGCUAUUAGAUGAGUCUGCGUCGGAUUAGCUUGUUGGUGAGGUAAUGGCUCACCAAGGCGACGAUCCGUAGCUGGUCUGAGAGGAUGACCAGCCACACUGGAACUGAGACACGGUCCAGACUCCUACGGGAGGCAGCAGUGGGGAAUAUUGCACAAUGGGCGCAAGCCUGAUGCAGCCAUGCCGCGUGUGCGAAGAAGGCCGUUAGGGUUGUAAAGCACUUUCAGCAGUGAGGAAAGGGGUGUCGUUAAUAGCGCCAUCCUGUGACGUUAACUGCAGAAGAAGGACCGGCUAACUCCGUG
rnacentral:rRNA from 1 species